GGAGGAGGGGGGCUUUCCCUUUUCCCUCUAGUGCCAAAGCAAGAACAUCAAAAACAUUAAAAAGCUUCACAUUAAAACAGAGCUGCAACUAGAGAGUAUUACAGACAAAAACCCUGUCACUAACAGCCUUCUGAAACACAUAUCAGUCUGACUGUCCUGCUUUAGCUGUGAGGAUUCUCCACACCAUGAAGAACAGGGCAUUGGAGUGGAAACAAAGCUCUCUUUCCUCCUUUGAGAGAUGUAGAUGUCAAUUUUUGCAUAUGUCUGGAGCAGAACUCAUUAGCACCAUAUGGCCAAGGGCUCCUAUUAUUAUAGCUGAUAACUGAGCAAUGUUAGAACACACAGCCGGGCCCAAAUCAUGUGAUACACAGCUUGGAUUACUAGAUGAUACUUCUGUGAGUAAGAGUCACACCGUCAAUGUGACCCUGUGGUUAGGCUUCACUUACGUGGCUGAACUUAAAAAAUGGUACAG